CAGUCAGACAGUGUGAGAUAAGUUUCAUUGUCAAAAGGGAAACAGCCCAGACCCACAGCUAAGGUCCCAAAUGUAUGUUAAGUGGAAAAGGAUGUCCAGUUGCACAAACAACCAGGAUGUUGGCUUAGAAGCAGCCACACAUUCAAAGAGUGCGUAACAGCUCACUGGUCGAGUGACCGGGCGCCGAAAAUGUAACGGGGCUAAACAUACAACCGAAGCUUGGGCUGCACAGCAAUGUGCGGGGUAGGGGAGCGUUGUGUGCGGGGUGAAGCAUGAGCGGAAGCGCGUGUGGACUGCACAGAAGUGAGAAUGCCGGAAUGAGUAGCGCGAAUUAUGUGAGAAUCAUAAUGGCCGAAAGCCUAAGGUUUCUGGAGGAAGGUUCGUCCGCUCCAGGUUAGCCGGGAGCUAAGGUGAGGCCGAAAGGCGUAGCCGAUGCACAUACGGUGGAGAUUCCGUAGCCAUCAAAAGAUUUAAGCAGAGGGACACAGUAGAAGGGUACAUGCCGGGCGUUGGUAGCCCCGGUUGCAAGGGACCGAAAUUAGAGUAGGGAAGAUGGACUUGGAUACUGGCGAGAAAAGCUCUGUGGAUAUCUGCGAUGCCCGUACCGCAAACCGACACAGGUAGGUAGGAAGAGGAUUCUAAGGCCAACGGGAGAAGGGUUGUUAAGGAACUCGGCAAGUUGACCCCGUAACUUCGGGAGAAGGGGUGCUCUGGAAACAGAGCCGCAGAGAAUAGGUCCAGGCAACUGUUUAGCAAAAACACAGCUCUCUGCUAAAUCGAAAGAUGAUGUAUAGGGGGUGACGCCUGCCCGGUGCUGGAAGGUUAAGAGGAGGAGUGAGAGCCCCGAAUCGAAGCCCCAGUAAACGGCGGCCGUAACUAUAACGGUCCUAAGGUAGCGAAAUUCCUUGUCAGGUAAGUUCUGACCCGCACGAAAGGCGUAAUGAUCUGGACACUGUCUCAACAGCCCACCCGGCGAAAUUGUAGUACCGGUGAAGAUGCCGGUUACCCGCGACAAGACGGAAAGACCCCAUGGAGCUUUACUGCAGCCUAAUAUUGGAUUUCGGUAUUUCAUGUACAGGAUAGGUGGGAGACUGGGAAACACAGGCGUCAGCUUGUGCGGAGUCGCCCUUGGGAUACCACCCUUGAAGUGCUGGAAUUCUAACCUGUGGCCAUGAAUCUGGUCAGGGGACAUUGUUAGGCGGGCAGUUUGACUGGGGCGGUCGCCUCCAAAAGAGUAACGGAGGCGCUCAAAGGUUUGCUCAGCAUGGCCGGAAACCAUGCCUUAGAGUGUAAACGCAAAAGCAAGCCUAACUGCGAGACCGACGGGUCGAGCAGAAACGAAAGUUGGAGUUAGUGAUCCGGUGGUAUGUGAGUGGAAAUGCCAUCGCUCAACGGAUAAAAGCUACCCUGGGGAUAACAGGCUGAUCUCCCCCAAGAGUCCACAUCGUCGGGGAGGUUUGGCACCUCGAUGUCGGCUCAUCGCAUCCUGGGGCUGUAUUCGGUCCCAAGGGUUUGGCUGUUCGCCAAUUAAAGCGGUACGCGAGCUGGGUUCAGAACGUCGUGAGACAGUUCGGU
rnacentral:rRNA from 1 species